rnacentral:rRNA from 1 species
GGGCGAAAGCUGAUCAUGUCAUGCCGCGUGUCUGAAGAAGGCUUCGGGUUGUAAAGGACUUUUGUCAGGCAGGAAAUCCUAGCGUUAAUACCGCUGGGGGAUGACAGUACCUGAAGAAUAAGCACCGGCUAACUACGUGCCAGCAGCCGCGGUAAUACGUAGGGUGCGAGCGUUAAUCGGAAUUACUGGGCGUAAAGCGUGCGCAGGCGGUUUGAUAAGCCAGAUGUGAAAUCCCCGAGCUCAACUUGGGAACUGCGUUUGGAACUGUCAGACUAGAGUGCGUCAGAGGGGGGUGGAAUUCCGCGUGUAGCAGUGAAAUGCGUAGAGAUGCGGAGGAACACCGAUGGCGAAGGCAGACCCCUGGGAUGACACUGACGCUCAUGCACGAAAGCGUGGGGAGCAAACAGGAUUAGAUACCCUGGUAGUCCACGCCCUAAACGAUGUCAAUUAGCUGUCGGGGGUUAGAAUCCCUGAUAACGUAGCUAACGCGUGAAAUUGACCGACUGGGGAGUACGGCCGCCAGGUUUCCACUCACCGGCACUGACGGAGGCCCUGACCAGCGGUGGCUGAUGUGG